UGGGGAAUAUUGCACAAUGGGCGCAAGCCUGAUGCAGCCAUGCCGCGUGUGUGAAGAAGGCCUUCGGGUUGUAAAGCACUUUCAGCGAGGAGGAAGGUGGUGGACUUAAUACGUUCAUCAAUUGACGUUACUCGCAGAAGAAGCACCGGCUAACUCCGUGCCAGCAGCCGCGGUAAUACGGAGGGUGCAAGCGUUAAUCGGAAUUACUGGGCGUAAAGCGCACGCAGGCGGUUUGUUAAGUCAGAUGUGAAAUCCCCGGGCUCAACCUGGGAACUGCAUUUGAAACUGGCAAGCUAGAGUCUCGUAGAGGGGGGUAGAAUUCCAGGUGUAGCGGUGAAAUGCGUAGAGAUCUGGAGGAAUACCGGUGGCGAAGGCGGCCCCCUGGACGAAGACUGACGCUCAGGUGCGAAAGCGUGGGGAGCAAACAGGAUUAGAUACCCCUGGUAGUCCACGCUGUAAACGAUGUCGAUUUUGGAGGUUGUGCCCUUGAGGCGUGGCUUCCGGAGCUAACGCGUUAAAUCGACCGCCUGGGGAGUACGGCCGCAAGGUUAAAACUUAAAUGAAUU
rnacentral:rRNA from 1 species